GGUAAGAACGCUGGCGGCGUGCCUAAUACAUGCAAGUCGAGCGGACUUGAUGGAGUGCUUGCACUCCUGAUGGUUAGCGGCGGACGGGUGAGUAACACGUAGGUAACCUGCCCAUAAGACUGGGAUAACCCACGGAAACGUGAGCUAAUACCGGAUAGGCAUUUUCCUCGCAUGAGGGAGAUGAGAAAGGCGGAGCAAUCUGCCACUUAUGGAUGGACCUGCGGCGCAUUAGCUAGUUGGUAAGGUAACGGCUUACCAAGGCGACGAUGCGUAGCCGACCUGAGAGGGUGAUCGGCCACACUGGGACUGAGACACGGCCCAGACUCCUACGGGAGGCAGCAGUAGGGAAUCUUCCGCAAUGGACGAAAGUCUGACGGAGCAACGCCGCGUGAGUGAUGAAGGUUUUCGGAUCGUAAAGCUCUGUUGCCAGGGAAGAACGCCUAGGAGAGUAACUGCUCUUAGGGUGACGGUACCUGAGAAGAAAGCCCCGGCUAACUACGUGCCAGCCCGCCGCAGUAA
rnacentral:rRNA from 1 species